rnacentral:rRNA from 1 species
UACAGGGGGCUCGAGCGUUAGUCGGAAUCACUGGGCUUAAAGGGUGCGUAGGCGGCUCGCCAAGUGCUUUGUGAAAUCCCACAGCUCAACUGUGGAACAGCAGGGCAAACUGGCGAGCUUGAAGCAGGUAGGGGCUGGAAGAACAGUUGGUGGAGCGGUGAAAUGCGUAGAUAUCAACUGGAAUGCCGAUGGGGAAGCCGUCCAGCUGGGCCUGUCUUGACGCUGAGGCACGAGAGCGUGGGGAGCAAACAGG